GUGUAGUUUAUUUAGCAGCAGUUCUCUUAUGUGUUGCUGAUAGCCGGCUAGCUAGCUAGCGCCGCUAGCAUAGUUAGCUCGCGCCGCUAGCAACCCUUCGUGAAAAAGCACCCAGGCUUGGCUUAUAUUGAGGCGGGUGAAACUCGUGUCAGCACCCGGUCGCUCUCUAUUUGGGUCAGAUAUAAACCGAGUUUAGGUGUAGUUUAUUUAGCAGCAGUUCUCUUACGUGUUGCUGAUAGCCGGCUAGCUAGCUAGUGCCGCUAGCAUAGUUAGCUAGCACCGCUAGCGACCCUUCGUGAAAAAGCACCCAGGCUUGGCUUAUAUUGAGGC
ensembl:lncRNA